UGCCUUGUGGUGUAGUGGUCAAGACGUUCGCCUAGUAAACAGGAGAGCGUGGGUUCGAUCCCAGCCGAGGCAU
rfam:Asian citrus Psyllid, Diaphorina citri - Florida Strain, whole genome shotgun sequence.